AGCGAACGCUGGCGGCAGGCCUAACACAUGCAAGUCGAGCGGCCGUAGCAAUACGGCAGCGGCAGACGGGAGAGUAACACGUGGGAACGUGCCCUUUGGUUCGGAAUAACGCAGGGAAACUUGCGCUAAUACCGGAUAAGCCCUUACGGGGAAAGAUUUAUCGCCAAUGGAGCGGCCCGCGUCUGAUUAGCUAGUUGGUGAGGUAACGGCUCACCAAGGCGACGAUCAGUAGCUGGCUGAGAGGAUGAUCAGCCUCACUGGGACUGAGACACGGCCCAGACUCCUACGGGAGGCAGCAGUGGGGAAUAUUGGACAAUGGGCGCAAGCCUGAUCCAGCCAUGCCGCGUGAGUGAUGAAGGCCCUAGGGUUGUAAAGCUCUUUUGUGCGGGAAGAUAAUGACGGUACCGCAAGAAUAAGCCCC
rnacentral:rRNA from 1 species